rnacentral:rRNA from 1 species
UACGUAGGGUGCAAGCGUUGUCCGGAUUUACUGGGCGUAAAGAGCGCGUAGGCGGCUCGUUAAGUGAGAAGUGAAAGCUCUGGGCUCAACCCAGAAACCGCUUUUCAUACUGGCAAGCUGGAGUGAUGCAGAGGUGGAUAGAAUUCCCGGUGUAGCGGUGAAAUGCGUUGAUAUCGGGAGGAAUACCCGUGGCGAAGGCGGUCCACUGGGCAUCAACUGACGCUGAGGCGCGAAAGCGUGGGUAGCAAACAGG